rnacentral:rRNA from 1 species
GCCUGGCCGUAACAUAACAAUCAAAUAACCUAUUGUUCGCCAAAUAACUACGAGUGUAAACUUAAAAUUUAAAAGACUUGACGGUGCUUCACAACAACCUAGAGGAGCCUGUCUUAUAACCGAUACCCCACGAUUAACCCAACCCGCCCUAGCCCAAUCAGUCUAUAUACCGCCGUCGCCAGCUUACCUUGCAAAAGAACUAAAGUGAGCAAAACGAAUUUCUCUUCAACACGACAGGUCGAGGUGUAACCUAUGGGUGGGUAAAAGAUGGGCUACAUUUUCUAACAUAGAACACACGAAUACACUUUGAAACUAGAAACUGAAGGCGGAUUUAGCAGUAUGAUAAGAAUAGAAUGCUUAACUGAAACCAAUGCAAUGAAGUGCGUACACACCGCCCGUCAUCCCUGUCCACAACCCAUAAAAAUUCAUAAAACAACCACCACCCCACCACAGGGC